rnacentral:rRNA from 1 species
GAUGAACGCUGGCGGCGUGCCUAAUACAUGCAAGUCGAGCGAAUGGAUUAAGAGCUUGCUCUUAUGAAGUUAGCGGCGGACGGGUGAGUAACACGUGGGUAACCUGCCCAUAAGACUGGGAUAACUCCGGGAAACCGGGGCUAAUACCGGAUAACAUUUUGAACCGCAUGGUUCGAAAUUGAAAGGCGGAUUCGGCUGUCACUUAUGGAUGGACCGGCGUCGCAUUAGCUAGUUGGUGAGGUAACGGCUCACCAAGGCAACGAUGCGUAGCCGACCUGAGAGGGUGAUCGGCCACACUGGGACUGAGACACGGCCCAGACUCCUACGGGAGGCAGCAGUAGGGAAUCUUCCGCAAUGGACGAAAGUCUGACGGAGCAACGCCGCGUGAGUGAUGAAGGCUUUCGGGUCGUAAAACUCUGUUGUUAGGGAAGAACAAGUGCUAGUUGAAUAAGCUGGCACCUUGACGGUACCUAACCAGAAAGCCACGGCUAACUACGUGCCAGCAGCCGCUGUAA